CAGGAUCUGUUUUCAUAUGAGGAAGUAAACUACAUUAAGAGAGAAAAACACAGUCAUUACUGUGGACUGACUGAUGAGACAGAGGUGGAUUUGAGAAAAUUAAAUGCUGAGAUGAUUCAUAACUCACUCUGUGGAUCAACAUCUGUAUCUGUUUUUAGAUGAAACCAUGACCUCCAGAAUGAAUCUCUCUGAAGGACAUGAAACAAAGAUAAAGACAGUCAAGAGUCUGUGGCAGAAUGAAUCUCCUGAACCCAGCUGUGUGUCCAUGAAGAGUGACCAGUCAAUGGGUCAACCACCUAAUUUCAAUUUGGGAGACACAUCUGCUGAUCUGAGUUACAGGCAAAAACAUAAAGAACCAGAAUCACACACAGCAAAGAAGAACUUAGACUCCAUUUUCAAGGUUGGUUGUGUGUGUGUGUAAGAAAUGAAGAAAUUUGUAAAAUCCUCUCUGUAAUAGUCAUAUUUACUUUCCUACACAUGUAAGAUCAUUUGUAGGCCACUAUAAAGCAGAUCAGUGAUCAAUAAAGUAGAGAAGAUGAAUCCAUAUGUAACCUGACUGCUGCACAAAGAUGAACAUCAAUCUAGCAAACAGACAAUCCAGUCAAACUCCCUCUUUUAACCUCAGUAUCUGUAGACGCUGAUGUUUGAGCAUACAGUCGAAGUUAUUAGCAGGUGUGAUAUAAUUUUGUAAUGUUUAUUAGUGUUCAUGACUUAACUCUUGUGUAUUGAUCCUUUGACCUACACAAAGUCAUCAUGUGUAACAAUGUGUUUUAUAUCAUUUGUUUACUUUAAAAUCAAAACUUUUUUGUUUGGAGUAAGAAAUUAUAUUUAAUUUUUCACCAUCGCGACCUUCAUAAAAUAUAUAUUUGUUUCUUCUUGAAUAAUUAUUAAUCAAAGUUUUUAAUCAAGUUAUUACAGUUCUUGUUUAACUGCUUACACACAAAAUAUUUACUUGUCACACAUUUUCUGAAACCUGACACUCAAACACCAGAACCACACACCACAUCUGCAAAACUAUACAAAAUUGUUAAUAAUCUUGCUUCUUCACCCUUGAAAGAAUUAGUUUUCUCCUGUACUGAAAAUAUACAGCAUACUAGAGCCUCAUCAAGAGGUGACUGUGCAGCGAAUUUUAGAGUUGCUGAUUUUGGUCGCUCAGCUUUUUCUGUAAGAGCUGUUUUAUUGUACAUGGUAUUAUAUCAGUGUUUUUAUUUUAUAAUUUGUUUUGGUACUCUCCUGCCCAGGGACAGCAGAUGAAAUUUAGUUAUGUAGCUAAUUCUGGGGCAGUUUUUUUUUUUUUUUUACUGUGUACUG